AGGUGUACUGUGAGGUAUGCUGGAGGUAUCAGAAGUGCGAAUGCUGACAUAAGUAACGAUAAAGCGGGUGAAAAGCCCGCUCGCCGGAAGACCAAGGGUUCCUGUCCAACGUUAAUCGGGGCAGGGUGAGUCGACCCCUAAGGCGAGGCCGAAAGGCGUAGUCGAUGGGAAACAGGUUAAUAUUCCUGUACUUGGUGUUACUGCGAAGGGGGGACGGAGAAGGCUAUGUUGGCCGGGCGACGGUUGUCCCGGUUUAAGCGUGUAGGCUGGUUUUCCAGGCAAAUCCGGAAAAUCAAGGCUGAGGCGUGAUGACGAGGCACUACGGUGCUGAAGCAACAAAUGCCCUGCUUCCAGGAAAAGCCUCUAAGCAUCAGGUAACAUCAAAUCGUACCCCAAACCGACACAGGUGGUCAGGUAGAGAAUACCAAGGCGCUUGAGAGAACUCGGGUGAAGGAACUAGGCAAAAUGGUGCCGUAACUUCGGGAGAAGGCACGCUGAUAUGUAGGUGAAGUCCCUCGCGGAUGGAGCUGAAAUCAGUCGAAGAUACCAGCUGGCUGCAACUGUUUAUUAAAAACACAGCACUGUGCAAACACGAAAGUGGACGUAUACGGUGUGACGCCUGCCCGGUGCCGGAAGGUUAAUUGAUGGGGUUAGCGGUAACGCGAAGCUCUUGAUCGAAGCCCCGGUAAACGGCGGCCGUAACUAUAACGGUCCUAAGGUAGCGAAAUUCCUUGUCGGGUAAGUUCCGACCUGCACGAAUGGCGUAAUGAUGGCCAGGCUGUCUCCACCCGAGACUCAGUGAAAUUGAACUCGCUGUGAAGAUGCAGUGUACCCGCGGCAAGACGGAAAGACCCCGUGAACCUUUACUAUAGCUUGACACUGAACAUUGAGCCUUGAUGUGUAGGAUAGGUGGGAGGCUUUGAAGUGUGGACGCCAGUCUGCAUGGAGCCGACCUUGAAAUACCACCCUUUAAUGUUUGAUGUUCUAACGUUGGCCCCUUACCGGGGUUGCGGACAGUGUCUGGUGGGUAGUUUGACUGGGGCGGUCUCCUCCUAAAGAGUAACGGAGGAGCACGAAGGUUGGCUAAUCCUGGUCGGACAUCAGGAGGUUAGUGCAAUGGCAUAAGCCAGCUUGACUGCGAGCGUGACGGCGCGAGCAGGUGCGAAAGCAGGUCAUAGUGAUCCGGUGGUUCUGAAUGGAAGGGCCAUCGCUCAACGGAUAAAAGGUACUCCGGGGAUAACAGGCUGAUACCGCCCAAGAGUUCAUAUCGACGGCGGUGUUUGGCACCUCGAUGUCGGCUCAUCACAUCCUGGGGCUGAAGUAGGUCCCAAGGGUAUGGCUGUUCGCCAUUUAAAGUGGUACGCGAGCUGGGUUUAGAACGUCGUGAGACAGUUCGGUCCCUAUCUGCCGUGGGCGCUGGAGAACUGAGGGGGGCUGCUCCUAGUACGAGAGGACCGGAGUGGACGCAUCACUGGUGUUCGGGUUGUCAUGCCAAUGGCACUGCCCGGUAGCUAAAUGCGGAAGAGAUAAGUGCUGAAAGCAUCUAAGCACGAAACUUGCCCCGAGAUGAGUUCU
rnacentral:rRNA from 1 species